AUUGAACGCUGGCGGCAGGCCUAACACAUGCAAGUCGAGCGAGCGGCGGACGGGUGAGUAAUGUAUGGGAAUCUGCCUGAUGGAGGGGGAUAACUACUGGAAACGGUAGCUAAUACCGCAUACUAUCAGAUGUGCCCAGAUGGGAUUAGCUAGUAGGUGGGGUAAAGGCUCACCUAGGCGACGAUCCCUAGCUGGUCUGAGAGGAUGACCAGCAACACUGGAACGGAGACACGGUCCAGAAUCCUACGGGAGGCAGCAGUGGGGAAUAUUGCACAAUGGGCGCAAGCCUGAUGCAGCCAUGCCGCGUGUAUGAAGAAGGCCUUCGGGUUGUAAAGCACUUUCAGCGGGGAGGCGUUACUCGCAGAAGAAGCACCGGCUAACUCCGUGCCAGCAGCCGCGGUAAUAC
rnacentral:rRNA from 1 species